AUUGAACGCUGGCGGCAGGCCUAACACAUGCAAGUCGAACGGUAACAGGAAGAAGCUUGCUUCUUGGCUGACGAGUGGCGGACGGGUGAGUAAUGUCUGUGAAACUGCCUGAUGGCGGGGGAUAACUACUGGAAACGGUAGCUAAUACCGCAUAACGUCGCAAGACCAAAGAGGGGGACCUUCGGGCCUCUUGCCUGCGGCUUUGCCCAGGUGGGAUUAGCUAGUAGGUGGGGUAACGGCUCACCUAGGCGACGAUCCCUAGCUGGUCUGAGAGGAUGACCAGCCACACUGGAACUGAGACACGGUCCAGGCUCCUACGGGAGGCAGCAGUGGGGAAUAUUGCACAAUGGGCGAAAGCCUGACGCAGCCACGCCGCGUGUAUGAAGAAGGCCUUCGGGUUGUAAAAUACUUUUAGCGGGGAGGAAGGGAGGAAAGAUAAUCCCUUUACUCAUUGACGUUACCCGCAGAGGAAGCACCGGCUAACUCCGUG
rnacentral:rRNA from 1 species